rnacentral:hammerhead_ribozyme from 1 species
AUGCAGCCGACGAGUCCCAAAUAGGAUGAAAUUCGUGUCCUGGAU